GUCCAACGCCCUAUGGGCCAUGGCUUAGCACCUUUAAGUGGCAAGUGAAAAGCAUUAUGUAACGCCCACUGACGUCUGUCUUUCUUCUGGCCAUAAUUUUAUGGCUGUUAAAAACUGUAACCAAUCUAUAUAUAAUAUAAAGCUAGGCAUAGAAAAUCUUAUGUGGCACAUCUCAAUGGCCUCCAAUGAUAUUUAUCUUUUUUUUCCCUUUUUUUGGCCUUUUUUCUAUUUUUUUCCAUUUAUGUGCUAUAUUAAAAAGUUCAAAAUGUCAUUUAUGUGUUAUGUAAAUGAAUGCUUCAAAAUAAAUGACUUGUAAAUGAGUGAUUUAAUUCUCUCUAUGUAACAUUGUGUACAUAUUCUUAAUCUCAAAAAUAAUUUCUUUCACUUAAAAUCAUUCGUCUUCCUUCUCUUUCUUACAGUUUCUUAUAGUCUGUUUGGCCAAGCUUAUUUUUUCCCCAAAAGUACUUAUUUUUUCAAUAAGUGCUUAUUUUAAAAAAAGUGAGGUGUUUGCCAAGCUUUUGGGAGAAAAUAAGUGCUUUUGGGGAGUAGCAGAAACAGUUUUUUAGAAGCUAAAAAAAAUAGCUUUUGUCCAAAAGCACUUUUGAGAAAAAUACACAUAGAAGCACUUUUUAAAAGUUUGGCCAAACAUUAAUUGCUGCUCAAAAGUACUUUUUAAAUUAAUUGGCCAAACACUAACUGCUUUUAGCCAAAAGUACUUUUUUGAAAAGUACUUUUGAAAAUAAGCUGUUUUUAAAAGCUUGGCCGAACAGGCUAUUACACACAAACAAAGAAUCGGAAGUGAUAAACUUUGACAUUUUCUUCUUAUUUAAUUUCUCCUAUUAAAUAUAUGUUUAAUUCUUUCUUCCACUAAUGAAGAUUGUAACGUCUAACAUAAUGGAGCAAUUACUUACAUCAUAACAAAUAUGUAAUUUUUUGAAUUCCAGUCCAUGAAACGAGGGCUCUUCACAUAUGAAGCAAUCCUUCAUUAAAUAGCAACCCUCUUGCUCUCUCAUUUGUGCAAUCUUACCUUUCAUCCCAUUUUCUUCUUUAUAAUUUGUUUUGUGUAUUUUGUUGAUAUGUACCUUUGGACACUACAAAAUUCAGAAGAAGUUUUACGAUAUGGCUUCUUAUUCCAUUGUUAUAACUUACAGUGCACUUCAUUUUCCGAAAUUACAUUGGUUUUAGAUGCACAGAUAAUUUGUCACGGUUACUAAGUCGCUACCAGUCAAAGAUGCAUCUGCUCAAAUAUUGUCAUCUCGGAAGACGCUAACUUCCAACAAGUGGAACAAAGAACUCUUAAAAGUAAGCUCUAUGCAUAAAUCACGCAUAUCUAAUCAGAGGUUUUUCUCUCUCACAUAAUAUACAGUAAGCACAAUAUUUCUGUCCCUUUUUUUUUUUUUUUUUAAUUAUAAUCCUUUGCGCUCAUAUGUAUCUUUUGUAUGGUUCCUUCAAAUAACUAAUUGAAGUUUUUAUGAAAUUCUUUCAUUAGAUGUUUUACAACGUCAAUUACUAAAGUAUUUUUGUGAUGAUUCCUAAUCAUGUUUUUCUAUAGAUUUCAUUUAUUGGAUGAUGAAUAUUGUUCACGAAAAGUAGGCAACUGAAACUCUUGGGAUCUCCCUAUAGCCUUGAAGAGCGACAAACAAAUGAUAUCAAGUAUUGCUAAAAUGUACGUUUGUGUUUUGACCACUUUGAAAUAUUUGAAAUUAGUAUGUGGAUAGGCAGAGUACAAUUUUAUUAUGGUUGAUAAUUGUUAAAAUUGCCUGAAUAUUUACAAGGAAUGAGCACCAUAUACAUAUUGUGCUUAUAUGAUUAAAUAUUAUCACUAGGUGUAUGAGAGGUUGUGAGUCCUAAUUACUUUUAAAUUAUAAUUAACUAUAAAGUUAAAUAAAGAGUAAUGGUCCUUCCUCCCGUGUCUUUCAGUUGAUUAUUGAACAUGAACAUCAAAUUAGUUAUCUAGAUGAAGCAUUACAACUACUCAAAUUUUCAUAGUUUAGUUUAUGCAGAGUUGUUGAGAAGGAACACUUAGUAGAUAAAAUUUAUAAGGAGCCGAAAACGAUAUCCAAUUUAUUGCCAUCAACACUGAUAAUCAUGUCCUCUUCUGAAUGGUGGUAAUUAAAAAAUAAUGAACUAUAAAUCUUUUUUCUCUUCAUGUAUAAUUAACGAUAAAUCAUAUCUUUUCCUCUUCAUAUAUACCAUCAAUGCUUUAUUUCCAACAGUGUAUUCACUGAGUAAAAGUUUUGACAUGAGCUAACAGUUACACAUUUAUAUUGUUCGUUAACUUAUGUUACACAAGCUGUGAGAAAAAUAAUAUAUGGUGAUAAUAUUCUGCUCAGAUUGCAAAGAAUUGACUUCUAAUCGUCUUAUUAUAACUUGAGAUGAGAACCAGAAUCUUGAAAAUCACAACGCUCGAAGUAAUCAAACUUUAGGCAUCUUAUGAAAAUUUUGUCCUCCGCAUUCUACUCAAUGCUAGCUGGGUUCAAAUAUUUGACGGCAUCUCUACCGGGAGUAUUGUUUGAAGCUUUAAUGGUAAGAGCAUUCCCAUAAUACAAUAUUUAUUAGGUUACUUAAUACAAAAAAAAAUGAAUAGAAUUUGAAGGUUCGUUCCCGUUAUUACAUUUCUAUUUCAAUAUUUUGUAUGAAUCAAAGUUUUUUUUUUUUUUUUUUAAUGUUUAGCAGUUUAACUUUUUUUUUUCCCGAAAUAAAUGGUGUUCUUUCAUCUAAAGUUGUCUUAAAAUUUAAUACAUGUUCUGGUUUGGAUAUCCAAUGGAGCUUUCAUAAAUAUAUAUUUUUUUAGUUGUCAUAUACGUUCUAAUAUAAUGCUAAAUGUCUUAAAAUGAAUAUUAGGUUGAGGAUUUUGCAUGUAGUUAAUUCGUGAGAACAAUUAUGCAAUAUAGCUUGCGUUUUUUUAUUAAUUAAAUCUCUGUAUUCUUAGUCAUGUAUGCUGAUGUUAACAUUUUUUUUCAUUGCAAGCUUCGGGAAAUUUGAAUGUGCAUGGUUUUUUUAAAUAAUUAAUAAUGAAUAAAUGAGAUAGUCAAUGGGACUGUCUAAAUCAAUUGGGCCUAGACUUUAUUUAAGGAACUAAUAAAUUUGAUUCGCUCUGCUAGACAUAUUUUCUUUGGUUCAUAUAAAAAUGUUGUGUGUUAAAUUUUUAGCGUUCCUUUAUCCUGUGAGUGAAAAUCGACAUUGUGCAAAUGUUUGAUUGGUGUUCUUGUGUCGUUUUAACACAUGUUUUACUAACUCAAUUUUUUUUGUUUAGUCUAUGUUGAAAAUAUUUAUUUUCCAUUUUUUUUUAACAUUCAACUCUUGAGUACAUUUAGUCCUGAUCAUGUAUUUUGUUACAUAUCUAAAUUAAGGCUAAUGAUAUUCUAAAUCGCAAAAAGCUUUUGUAUCAGAAAUAUUGUUUUGAAUUGCUUAGCAUGAUGUGAAUAACAUGACCAUCAUUUGUGUUGUUAUUUAAAAUAAUACAUUAGAAAAUUAAUAUGGCAUUUGGCAAGUGGAUAUAACAAUUAAAUUUAAUAUGCUUAAAUGAGCAACAUCAUAUUUUGAUGUGGUUAAUUUGUUUUUUAGUACUAUUCGCACAACGUGCGGGUCAUUACACUAACAUUGAGGAGCUGAAAUAAAAUUUGAAUCUAAUGUGAUGUGUGAACAUAUUCACAGGAAGUUGAGUUUUUGUGGUUGUGUGGUACGUGGAAUCAAUUGUCAAUAGCCACUUUGGGAUUUUUAUGUAUUUACUUGUGUAGUCAAUUUCUUUCAAUAAUUGUUCUUUGUAUUUCUUCUACUGGAUCUUUUAGCAAUAAAAAAUUUUAUGUACUAUUUUGCUUUGCAGCUAGAAGAUUGAGAUAUUAUUUGCUUUCAAAAAUUCCUUUGAAACUAAGACAAUAAACAAUAUUACUUCCCAGAGAUUCCUUCAUUUUUGGAGUAACGUCCACAAUAAUCAUCAGAUGAUGAGUCCCAGAAGAAACUCUCAAGGUGGACAUUCCAUCAUCCCAAUAUCUUAGGUGGUGCAAUUCCUGGAUAUCAUUUCCGGAGUCUUGUGCGAUAAGAAGGUGCCACUGAAACUUAAAGGUAAGUUCUACAGAGUGGUGGUUAGACCUACUAUGAUGUAUGGGGCGGAGUGUUGGUCAAUCAAUAACUCUCACGUCCAGAAGAUGACAGAUGCGGAAAUGAGGAUGUUAUGAUGGAUGUGUGGGCAUACUAGAAGUGAUAGAAUCAGGAAUGUAGAUAUCUGGAGCAAGGUGGGAGUGGCUUCGGUGGAGGAUAAGAUGCAGAAAUCAAGGCUGAAAUGGUUCGGACAUGUGCAGAGGAGAUGUACGGCCGCCCUAGUGCGGAAGUGUGAGAGGUUGGCUAUGGACGAUUUCAGAAGAGGCAGAGGUAGGCCGAAGAAGUACUGGGGAGAGGAGAUUCGACAUGACAUGGUGCUGGUCCAGCUUAUCGAGGACAUGACUUUAGAUAGGAGAUUAUGGAGGGCACGAAUUAGAGUAAAAGGUUAAUAAACAGUUGAGUGUUGUCUUGUUUAUCAUUUCAUACUAAUAGUUGUAGUAUUAUCCUUGUAGGUCCUUUUCUUUCGAUUCCUGAUACUAUUUGUUGUUGCUUGUACUUCAAUUAUCAAAUUGUUUUACUUUCUGUAGUAUUUCACCACGCCUUAUAUACUGCUUUAAAUUGCUUGUU